rnacentral:rRNA from 1 species
UACGGGGGGGGCAAGCGUUGUUCGGAAUUACUGGGCGUAAAGCGCGUGUAGGCGGCCGGCUAGGUCUGGUGUGAAAACUCGAGGCUCAACCUCGAGAUGUCGCCGGAAACCAGUCGGCUAGAGUCCGGAAGAGGAGAGUGGAAUUCCUGGUGUAGCGGUGAAAUGCGCAGAUAUCAGGAAGAACACCUAUGGCGAAAGCAGCUCUCUGGGACGGUACUGACGCUGAGACGCGAAAGCGUGGGGAGCGAACAGG